rnacentral:sRNA from 1 species
CUAUAAAGAAGUAUUAAAGUGUUACCUCAGCAAUAGCGUCUCUAGCAGCAAGAGCAACGAUGUCAGCGCAAGACACAACGCCCGGACAAAAACGUUCAAGCUCUGAUUUGGCUUCGUCUAUAACAUCGAAACCAGCCACCCCCGCGUUACCCGCAGCAAACCUUUCGUCAUCGUUCCCACCAUGCUUGAUUAGUAUUGACCCAUCACAACCCUACAACAUACAACCAAACCAAUUUAUGUCACUAGCUAGUUAUAAAAAAA